UACGAAGGGGGCUAGCGUUGCUCGGAAUCACUGGGCGUAAAGCGCACGUAGGCGGCUUUUUAAGUCAGGGGUGAAAUCCUGGAGCUCAACUCCAGAACUGCCUUUGAUACUGGGAAGCUUGAGUCCGGAAGAGGUGAGUGGAACUCCGAGUGUAGAGGUGAAAUUCGUAGAUAUUCGCAAGAACACCAGUGGCGAAGGCGGCUCACUGGCCCGGUACUGACGCUGAGGCACGAAAGCGUGGGGAGCAAACAGG
rnacentral:rRNA from 1 species